AGCGAACGCUGGCGGCAGGCCUAACACAUGCAAGUCGAACGAACCUUUCGGGGUUAGUGGCGGACGGGUGAGUAACACGUGGGAACGUGCCUUUAGGUUCGGAAUAACUCAGGGAAACUUGUGCUAAUACCGAAUGUGCCCUUCGGGGGAAAGAUUUAUCGCCUUUAGAGCGGCCCGCGUCUGAUUAGCUAGUUGGUUGAGGUAAUGGCUCACCAAGGCGACGAUCAGUAGCUGGUCUGAGAGGAUGAUCAGCCACAUUGGGACUGAGACACGGCCCAAACUCCUACGGGAGGCAGCAGUGGGGAAUCUUGCGCAAUGGGCGAAAGCCUGACGCAGCCAUGCCGCGUGAAUGAUGAAGGUCUUAGGAUUGUAAAAUUCUUUCACCGGGGACGAUAAUGACGGUACCCGGAGAAGAAGCCCCGUCUAACUUCGUG
rnacentral:rRNA from 1 species